AUGCAGUGCAGCCUAGUGGGUGAAAGCCUGGCUUGAGUGCAAAGCACUCGUUGGGAUGCGGAGUCGGAGGGACCUGGAUAGGAAAUCCCGGCUCUGCCCCCUCCCAGCUGAGUGAGCUCUCUGUGCCUCAGUUUCUCCGUGUGUUACAGGGACCAGACUCCUCCAGCAGCUGAGAAAUAGAGAAGGUGUGACUUUGACUUUUGCGGUCAGAGCGGCAGAGAUACGAGGUACCAGAAGACCCUCAAACAGUGUGCGCUCGUGACCCCGGAAGCACACGGCCGCGGGGUUCAGGGAGGAGGGAGGGGGGGCCCGGUCACCUUCACGGCGAAGUCGAUGACUCUCUUGACAGCUACAAGCGCGCGCAGCUCCGCCAUCUUCCUGCCGCGGCGACCCGCCGGGUGAGUCUUCGCUCUCGGCCUCACAGUCCGGACGCCCCGCCCCUCUGUCCUUCACUGCGCCUGCGCCCCGCGCCGCCAGCCAGUCAACCGCUACGGUGCUCGCCUCCCCGCCCGACAGAGGACCAAUCGGAAGGCCAGAGGGGAGGGAGGUGUGGCAAGCAGAUGCGGACCAAUAGAGAGCGGAUCUUGGGGAGGGAGGCGGAACCCGGUGGGAAAGGCGAACAUCCUUGCAGAGGGAGAGUGGCCGAGAACUAGGGAAAAGGUCGUGCAGCGGAGGGACGCAUUCCCGGAGAGUUCUCCACUUUUCCCAGUGCCCUCAGAUCUUCCCCCUUCCCUAGUUCUCACCUCUUACUCGCUUGAGUCGCAGUGCCCGUGUCCCCACACCUCUGACUCCUCUGCGUCCCCCCCGUUCCUUCCAUGCCCGUGUUCCUCAUCCCAUGAUUGUGUCUCUAGUUCCCCAUAUCCGAUCUCCCCGUCCUUGUCUCCACUUUUCCUCCAUGUCUGUGUCCCUACAUCUUCUCUAUGCGCCCACGUCCCCUCCUGACUCCACUAUCCCUGUGUCCCCGUUCCCCUCCAAAUACACCUCCCUUGACCUGUCCAGGUCCGAGUCUCCACUAUGCCCGUGACCCCAUGUCUACAUGUUCCCUGUAGAUUCAAGCCCUUACGUUUUCCCUGAGCCUCCAGGUACCCCCGCGUCCCCGUCCUCGCGUCCCCCAGAAAGGCACGUGAAACCGCGGCGGUGGAAGCCCUCCCUUUAUUCUGUCCCAGGCAGCUGCGGUCACAAGCACACGGGGAAUCCACUGAUGGCAUCUGUGCUCUGCAGGAUCAUGUCCGCCAGCAGAAAGCAGAAGCCUAACGGGAGGGGAACGGGAACGGAGGGAGGGUGGAGGAAAGGUUACCCGCGAGAAUAGAGAAGGGUAAAGCCAGCCACCCCGAAAAAUAGGACCAGGAGAAGAAGACGUCGUCUUUCCAUGCAUUUUUCGCUGUGUAACCUGUCAAGGCGAUCAGCAGCAAGAGGCCUGGGCCCCGCCCACCAACCGGAUGAGUUUGGCCAGGGGGCUGCACCCCGGCCACCCUGGCCACGCCCAUCGCCUCAGGCCACGCCCUUCUGGGCCUCCUGCUGUUCCCCGUCUCCCAGGCCUCCGCCCCUGACCCCGCCCCUCUAGCGCCUCCCGCGUGGAGCUUUGUCCCCCCCCCCCCCCGGGACCCGCCCCCUCCUCUCGU